rnacentral:lncRNA from 1 species
AGGUGAGGCGUUUUGACGCGAAGGGGAAGGGGUGCUGAUGGCUGGAACUCUCGCCUCCGGGGCGGACAAGCUUGCCUGACCUGCGUGCAAAUGGCGUAGGAUGGCGCAAGGUGACUUUGGCCUCACAUCAAUAUUUUGGCCUGGGCGAUGGGGCCGACUACCCCGCCCACAGGUUUUCUUCGUGCAGUCGCGUCCACGGCACUCGGCGCGCAAAAUCUGGCGUCACUCCUUGGACGCCGAGCCUCUGUGGUGGCAGUGCAUGCAGACGGGGCUGGUGGGACCACGGGCCGGGUGCCAUUCAGACGCCGGAAACCGCGGCCGGACCCACUGCAAAGGCUGAUGCUGCGGAAGCUGCGGGACAUCCAGAACGACGUGCGCGGCAUCCAGCAGAAGCAGGAUGGAUUCGCUGAGACACAGAGCAUCAUCGUCGAGUCGCUCGUGGGCAGCGAGCUCAGUGAGCGCGACCCGCCGGACGUGGACAGCAGCAAAGCGCGCAGAGCCGUCAAGCUGCAGUCUGCGGACAGCGUUGUGGCCUGUGUGGUGCCGCAAGAGCUCCCGCCGCGCCUGCUGCACGAGGACGCACCUGCGCAGCUCACGGCGUGGCUCAGGGAGGAUCGGGAGAGCGGCGUGAUGAGUGGGGGCUACCGUUUGUUACCGUUUGUUCCAGCGUCUUGACCUGCCAACGCAUAGGCCAGCUCUGACGUGUCAAAAUGGACCCUGACUUGUCUUCUGCCGCCGCCGCUUGUGUAGGGCCGAGGCAUCCGCGCUAUCCUGCGGUCGUGUCUGCGUGCGGUGCCUUCCCUGCUCGGGGCGGUGGCGGGGAGUGCAGAGGACAAGGCGGCGGCUGCGACUGCAGCUGAGGUGAGAGCUUGCCGCUAUUACGUAUGGCGGCUGGCGGCGUCAACUGCUCCAACAGCAACGGCAGACAGGACGUGCUACCGUACGUGCGAUUUUACACUGUUCGCAGGUGGCGCUGACAGAGCUCGAGAAGGCUGGGGCUGGCCAAAAGGAGCUGCGAGCCGCCUGUGACGCGCUCAAGUGCUGCGCGGCGCGGCUGCCGGUCUCCUUGAAGCUGCUCGAGGACUGCGUCAAGGACCCGAAGAAAGCCGAGGAGCUGCUGCGCGGUGAGCUGUGCAUCGCGGCGCUGACGUCGCUGCACCCGGUCAGCGGCACGGCCUCAUCGACGGCCAAAGAGCUGGAGAUCGACCGCCUGCUGCCGCUACGGUUGCUUCCGGCGGCUGACGGCGCCAACGGCACCAGCAACAACGGUGGCAUCGCCAUCCUGGAGGUGCAGGAGAUCAAGUCGUCCACCGCUGGUGAGUGAAGUGCCGACAGACAUGGCACCAGACGGGGUGGUCGGGACACGGCAUUCAAACUGGUUGGCAUGGGCGGCGAGGAUUUCCAAGGCGUCAUGUUACCUGCUGCGUUGAGGUGUCUGGGAGCCUCUGUGCCGCGGUCCAUGUAUUGACCGGGAUCAGGCCGCACUCCACGACCUCUGCUCAUGCGCAGGUCUACCCACGGGGGGUGACCAGGCGGCCCGCCUGGGCUCCGUUCUGGGGUGCUCCUACGGUGUGCUGCAAGAGCGGCUCCAGCACACGGCGGCAGGCGCUGUGCCGCCGCUGCCGGUGAAGCUGCGCCUGCAGGGGACCAUUGCGCUCGGCAAAGACGGCGACCCCAACGCGGAUGCGGCGCAGCUCCCGCCCCAGCAGACGCUUAAAACCGCUGACGACAAGGUGCACGACAUGCAGAUGCAGUACCUGGUCCUGGCGAAGGGCGCUCUGGUGCCCUGGGUGCCGAACCGCCCGAAGCAGUGAGCGGUUGGGACACGCGGUUGACAGCGAGCCGAGCUGCUACCGCGGUCUUCGUACCGCUGCAGCUUUGCGCGCGACGGGUAGCUGCUGGGGUGCCUGGGCCGCGAGGCUGCGGUCGAGCGGCGGGGGCGACCUGCUGCAGGCGUCCGCGGUGGCUGCAACGCGUGGACCUGUCUGUUGGGGAAGUGCCGAGGGCAUGAGGCAUGGCGAGCUUGGACAGUGCGGCACCGUGGCAGGUAUUAAGCUGACACCCAUUGUGUCAUCCGGCGCGGUUUUGGAGUGCGGGCAUGCCAUGUGCGUACCAUUUUAGGCACGUCACGCGACGAGGGCGCUUGAAGAGUGGGGUCGGAGAGUGCGUAGAGCUUUUGAGUGGGAAAGAAUGGGAGAUUCGUUCAUGGGAAAAUGUGGGAGAUGCAUUUCAUAAAUGUGGUGAACAGUUGAGCGUUUGGGCCGCAUUUUGACGAGUUGGCCGGUCUCUGACGCGUGGUAGGAUGGUGGGCGUCACCAAAGUGAGAGGCUGGCGGCCUGUGGCGGUCUCACCGCUGAGAGACAUUGACCAUCGGUGUCUCGGGACUUGUCCAUAACGAUAACGUUUGUAUUGCAUGUACCAUUUCGUGGGGUGUAAGGGUUCACCUCUCCGGCUGGCACCUCGCAGCCAUGUACUCUGGCCUUGUCAUUUUGUAUGGAGUGAACCCAGUCACUGUUGCGCUGCGCAUGCGAUACAUUGCAAUCAUGUGAUGCGUCGGCAAGUGGAAAGUUUGGCAGGGGAUGGAGCGCUGUGUGGACGGAGCAUCCAUGGGGAAGUGUUGGUGUACCUAAAUAUGCAAGUAGCGCAAGGCAAUUCUGUAGCGCCGGCCGCAUUGGCAUGCGCAGCUCUCGAGUGUGGCGUGUGGCACAUUUAAUAAGCCCGCAUUUCACCACAUGCGUUGGUGUUCAUAUCUAGGACGUGCAUGUCGCAAUAGGUCGGCAGGGUACCGGCGUGUCUGGGACUUCAGAGCCUCUGCGGCGAUGCAUCAGUGCUUACCUGCUCCGUUUGAGGGGAAGGGCACAAGACUGGGGGAGGGAGGAGCCCGGAGGAGCACAGGGUCGCGAAGGCGCAGGCUCCCAUGUAUGUAUACGCUGGUCACUCUGUUGUCGAGGGCGCUGUAAGUGUGGGAUGCUACGAUACGAUUUGGCNNNNNNNNNNNNNNNNNNNNNNNNNNNNNNNNNNNNNNNNNNNNNNNNNNNNNNNNNNNNNNNNNNNNNNNNNNNNNNNNNNNNNNNNNNNNNNNNNNNNGCCUCCGUCAGACAGUCCAGGAAGAAGCGCUGGCCCUCGCCCACACUGGCCGCCAGCGCCUCCAGCGCGCCUGGUAGUUGAAGGUGCCGUAGAAGGCCGCGCCGUACUGAAAGGACUUCUUGCGAUUCCACCGGCCCAGGAACAGCAUCAUCAGCGUAUCCGCCAGCUCCACCGAUGUGUUGAAGCCCGGCAGCAGCGUGUGCCAAUGCCGGUGAAAGCCCUCAAGCGCGCUGGUGCCCCGCUUCGAGCGCCACUUGGGGGGCUUCUCAGGGUCCGGCUCCACGUUGAUGUACAUCUCCACGCCGACAGGGUCUGCGCAUACACCGGCCCAUGGGCAUGUGGAAUGUGCAUGAGUAGAUGUGGGAAAUUGAAACCGAAUCAGCAACAAACUGCUACGCGCACUAGCCGUGCAGUAAGCCCAGCCGUGCAGUAAAAACAACCUACUACUGGUACGCCUGAAACCUACCGCUGAGGCGGCCCUCCUUGAUGUGCAGGCGGACACGCUCAAUCGCGUCCAGGGUGUCCGUGUUCAGCAGCCGCGCGCCUGCAUGUUGGAGCAGGCGGGCAGAUGAUGGGCCGCAGUGAGCUUCUCACGCAAUGCGGCGCGGCAAUAGCACCACCACACAGCCAGCGCCAGGAUCACAGCGCACCUGUGCUCAUGUCGAUUUGACGCUCGUACUGAGCCACCACCUUUUCGAAGCGCUCCAGCAGCUCCUUCGGAGGUGGAAUGAAGGACCGGCAUGUGGUGUCGUUGAUGGGCCAGCCCUUGGAUGCCGCCAGCUUCUCAUCCUCCUUGUUCCGCACACGGAAAGCGCCAGCAAUGUCAGCGAUGAACGUCGCUGCAAUCACCAUCAAAGAGCAAGCACACAGUCACCAAAUGGGCACGACCACCCGAUAGAACCACACGUUGACAAUUGCUCAUACCUCGCAGGCUGUGGUCGGAUGGCAGGGUGUCAGUGAUCCGGCGCUCCACGUGGAACAGGUCCUCCUUGAUGCCACCGCCCGGAGGCAUGCCUGGAAAGCAGCGCUCCAGCAGCUUGCCGGUCGUGUGGCUGUUGUCCACGUAGAUCAUGCCGAGUUGGCUCUGCACGGGGUAACACACGCAAUUGCAAGUUGUUCAGCACGCAUAUUCUGAGGCACGGCUUAUGUGGCUGCUGCAGCGAAGCCAAGCAGCUUUUACCAGGUCAAGGAGUCACCCGUUACUGCGUACCUUCUUCAGAGACAGGUUACGCUGUGCCAGCCGGCGCAGCGCAUCCUCAAGCUCCAGCAGCCCACCACCACCGAGGUACAAGCCCACAAUCUCGCCUCGUUCGUUCAUAACAGUUGUAGACUCCUUGAACGCGCGCUCACCGUCUGUAGUCCGCACCUUUUUGGCGUUUUUGAAGGCGCCAUCAAUGCGCAGAACCUCAAAGGGCAGCGACUGCAUGUGCUGUUCUGCUGCCGCCACUUCACCCCGCACAGCGACAAGGAAGCACUUGAUUGCGUACUGCACGCUCAGCAGCGCGCCACCGUACAGGCCGUCUUCAAAGCGGGGGAAAGGCAGCACCUGCAGGUAAAGAAAUGUCAGACGGCGGGAUUGCAGAAGAGGGGGCGAGCGAUGCUGGGGUCCCGUCAACCCUGCUCACCUUGCUUCCAGAACCCGGGGCAGCCGCCUCUGCGUCCUCCUGUAUUCACAAGGUGCGGCGUAGCACUGAUCAUACUGCAGGCAGGGCUAACAAGACGGGCGGCCUGUUGAUACUAACAGGGCGGCCUGGUGAUACUAAGAAGACAGCCAUGCACAUACCUCAACGUCGGUUCUGUCCCCAUCCUCAUCCGGGUCCAGGCCUGCUCUGCCGCCUGCGCUGGCGCCUGCUCUGCCGCCUGCUCUGCCGCCUGCGCUGGCGCCUGCUCUGCCGCCUGCGCUGCCACCUGCGCUGCCACCUGCGCUGCCGCCUGCGCUGCCGCCUGCGCUGCUGCCUGCGCUGCCGCCUGUGCUGCCACCCACGACGUCGCCUGCUGUGCUGCCGCCCGCAGGCUGAAAAAAGUCGCGUAUGGUGCGCCCCCUCUUCAGCAUCAAGUACUCCAGCUCCGUCAUCUUAUGCACCAUAUGCGCCUUCUCGUUGACCAUGUCGCAGAUGCUGCUGAAGCUGGUGCCCUGGGGCGGCAUGACCGACAGCGUGCGCACGACCCGCCACGUGAGCCCACUCUGCCGAGUUAGCACGCCGGGGAGUUUCAGCUGCACGUACCCCGGCAGCUGCGAGACGAUCUCCGGGUCGCACAUUUGGAAGUGUUUGGCGUCAGUGCAGACUGCAUGGCAGGGGAAGGGGGCCAGCGGUUUCUCAGCUGUCGAUCGUCGCCGCAUGUCGGGUGACAUGUCGUUGCGCACGCCGAGAACGUCGCGAGGUGCGUGGCACAGCGUAAUGUUGCACUUGCAAUUGUAUACCACUCACUCUUGCAUUUUGCUUGACUGCAAAAAACCCACACGUCCUCCUCCCCGUCGCCGAUGAGCUUCUUGACGUCCAUCGCCCAGCCCCAGUACACGCAGUUGGCCUUCGUGCACGUUGGGCACUUUGGCCGCCAUGUUGAGUUGCAAAGGCGCUUAGGGUCCCAGAGGAUGAGCUGCGUGCGCGAGCACACAGUCUGGACAAGCCGCUCGCACUCGCUGCCCUGGAAGCGCGGGUCCGAAGGGCUGGCAAAGCGGAUUUCGUAUGGUAGUGGGAGGUUUACGUUCUUGUCGUCGCAGUAAUCCUUGAUAGCAAGCGCGAUCCUAUAGAGAAUGUCAGCCUUGUUUAAAUGAGUGAACUCGAGGCGCUUCAAGACGACCGUGUCAGUGUGCAGCUCAAAUUCUACGGAUGUUUUCAAGCCGUUGCCGCUAGCGUGGUACUUGAUAGUGUGGGGAGUGCUGUUCGGUACCGUGGUCCAGGUUGUGGCUUGGUCUUUCUUUGCUUUUUUGCGCACAGGCUCAGACAUAUUGAUAAGAAAGCAUUUCACUUAUCGAUGUGUAUUUGUAGCAGCGACUAUGGGCCCUUCCUGAGCACCCCGAAUUAGCGCACCGAAUUAGCGCUAAUUCGACCCCAUGCGCCCCCCCAGACAGCCGGACCACUUCACGCAAUCUUGCCGGGGUGCCUCGAUUGAAGCCCCGCGCUUCAGCUGUUGCUUACUUUGCAUUGCUGUUAACCGUCACAUUGUGUCGUGGUAAUUCAGCGUCCACUCUCCAGCACCUGUUACGAAUCCUAUCGGCGCCUACUUUGCGAUUUGGCCCGUGUUCGCAAGGCAUAUCAGUAAAGCCACAUGCAUAGCUGCACCUAGAUCGCACGCUGCUGCGGCGGAGCAGCGAGCAAGAAACCUUACGUUGCUCUUGGACCCGGCGAGCCCACGAGGCGCCGCUGCACGAUGCAGCGAGCGGCGGCGGUGCCUUCUGCGAGGGGCAGCAUGCAUGGCGGAGGCCGAGGCGGUGGCGGCGCAGGUGAGGCGUUUUGACGCGAAGGGGAAGGGGUGCUGAUGGCUGGAACUCUCGCCUCCGGGGCGGACAAGCUUGCCUGACCUGCGUGCAAAUGGCGUAGGAUGGCGCAAGGUGACUUUGGCCUCACAUCAAUAUUUUGGCCUAGGCGAUGGGGCCGACUACCCCGCCCACAGGUUUUCUUCGUGCAGUCGCGUCCACGGCACUCGGCGCGCAAAAUCUGGCGUCACUCCUUGGACGCCGAGCCUCUGUGGUGGCAGUGCAUGCAGACGGGGCUGGUGGGACCACGGGCCGGGUGCCAUUCAGACGCCGGAAACCGCGGCCGGACCCACUGCAAAGGCUGAUGCUGCGGAAGCUGCGGGACAUCCAGAACGACGUGCGCGGCAUCCAGAACGACGUGCGCGGCAUCCAGCAGAAGCAGGAUGGAUUCGCUGAGACACAGAGCAUCAUCGUCGAGUCGCUCGUGGGCAGCGAGCUCAGUGAGCGCGACCCGCCGGACGUGGACAGCAGCAAAGCGCGCAGAGCCGUCAAGCUGCAGUCUGCGGACAGCGUUGUGGCCUGUGUGGUGCCGCAAGAGCUCCCGCCGCGCCUGCUGCACGAGGACGCACCUGCGCAGCUCACGGCGUGGCUCAUGGAGGAUCGGGUGAGCGGCGUGAUGAGUGGGGGCUACCGUUUGUUACCGUUUGUUCCAGCGUCUUGACCUGCCAACGCAUAGGCCAGCUCUGACGUGUCAAAAUGGACCCUGACUUGUCUUCUGCCGCCGCCGCUUGUGUAGGGCCGAGGCAUCCGCGCUAUCCUGCGGUCGUGUCUGCGUGCGGUGCCUUCCCUGCUCGGGGCGGUGGCGGGGAGUGCAGAGGACAAGGCGGCGGCUGCGACUGAAGCUGAGGUGAGAGCUUGCCGCUAUUACGUAUGGCGGCUGGCGGCGUCAACUGCUCCAACAGCAACGGCAGACAGGACGUGCUACCGUACGUGCGAUUUUACACUGUUCGC